UAGGGAAUCUUCCGCAAUGGACGAAAGUCUGACGGAGCAACGCCGCGUGAGUGAAGAAGGCUUUCGGUUCGUAAAACUCUGUUGUUAGGGAAGAAAAAAUGUAUAGUAACUAUAUACAAAAGAGACGGUACCUAACCAGAAAGCCACGGCUAACUACGUGCCAGCAGCCGCGGUAAUACGUAGGUGGCAAGCGUUGUCCGGAAUUAUUGGGCGUAAAGCGCGCGCAGGUGGUUUAGAAAGUCUGAUGUGAAAGCCCACGGCUCAACCGUGGAGGGUCAUUGGAAACUAAUAAACUUGAGUGCAGGAGAGAAAAGUGGAAUUCCUAGUGUAGCGGUGAAAUGCGUAGAGAUUAGGAGGAACACCGGUGGCGAAUGCGGCUUUUUGGCCUGCAACUGACACUGAGGCGCAAAAGCGUGGGGAGCAAACAGG
rnacentral:rRNA from 1 species